AAACCCUGUAGUAUACGAAUCCUUAAUACGAUAAACUGCAACUUUAUUAAAGCUAUUAAGCCGGGGUUUA
rnacentral:tRNA from 1 species